UGAGUAGCUUGCUAUGAGCUGUUUUAGCGGCGGACGGGUGAGUAACGCGUGAGCAACCUUUCCCAGACAGGGGAAUAACACACCGAAAGGUGUACUAAUACCGCAUAAGACCACGGGAUCACAUGGUUCUGAGGUAAAAGAUUUAUCGCUGAAAGAUGGCCUCGCGUCUGAUUAGCUAGUUGGUGAGGUAAUAGCCCACCAAGCCGACGAUCGGUAGCCGACCUGAGAGGGUGAUCGGCCACAUUGGGACUGAGACACGGCCCAAACUCC
rnacentral:rRNA from 1 species